rnacentral:rRNA from 2 species
GGCUAAAUACGUGCCAGCAGCCGCGGUAAUACGUAGGUGGCAAGCGUUGUCCGGAAUUAUUGGGGCGUAAAGCGCGCGCAGGGCGGUUUCUUAAGUCUGAUGUGAAAGCCCCCGGCUCAACCGGGGAGGGUCAUUGGAAACUGGGAAACUUGAGUGCAGAAGAGGAAAGUGGAAUUCCAAGUGUAGCGGUGAAAUGCGUAGAGAUUUGGAGGAACACCAGUGGCGAAGGCGACUUUCUGGUCUGUAACUGACGCUGAGGCGCGAAAGCGUGGGGAGCAAACAGGAUUAGAUACCCUGGUAGUCCACGCUGUAAACGAUGAGUGCUAAGUGUUAGAGGGUUUCCGCCCUUUAGUGCUGAAGUUAACGCAUUAAGCACUCCGCCUGGGGAGUACGGUCGCAAGACUGAAACUCAAAGGAAUUGACGGGGGCCCGCACAAGUGGUGGAGCAUGUGGUUUAAUUCGAAGCAACGCGAAGAACCUUACCAGGUCUUGACAUCCUCUGACAACCCUAGAGAUAGGGCUUUCCCUUCGGGGACAGAGUGACAGGUGGUGCA